rnacentral:rRNA from 1 species
CGUGCUAUACAUGCAAGUCGAACGAACUCUGGUAUUGAUUGGUGCUGCAUCAUGAUUUACAUUGAGUGAGUGGCGAACUGGUGAGUAACACGUGGGAAACCUGCCCAGAAGCGGGGGAUAACACCUGGAAACAGAUGCUAAUACCGCAUAACAACUUGGACCGCAUGGUCCGAGCUUGAAAGAUGGCUUCGGCUAUCACUUUUGGAUGGUCCCGCGGCGUAUUAGCUAGAUGGUGGGGUAACGGCUCACCAUGGCAAUGAUACGUAGCCGACCUGAGAGGGUAAUCGGCCACAUUGGGACUGAGACACGGCCCAAACUCCUACGGGAGGCAGCAGUAGGGAAUCUUCCACAAUGGACGAAAGUCUGAUGGAGCAACGCCGCGUGAGUGAAGAAGGGUUUCGGCUCGUAAAACUCUGUUGUUAAAGAAGAACAUAUCUGAGAGUAACUGUUCAGGUAUUGACGGUAUUUAACCAGAAAGCCACGGCUAACUACGUGCCAGCAGCCGCGGUAAUACGUAGGUGGCAAGCGUUGUCCGGAUUUAUUGGGCGUAAAGCGAGCGCAGGCGGUUUUUUAAGUCUGAUGUGAAAGCCUUCGGCUCAACCGAAGAAGUGCAUCGGAAACUGGGAAACUUGAGUGCAGAAGAGGACAGUGGAACUCCAUGUGUAGCGGUGAAAUGCGUAGAUAUAUGGAAGAACACCAGUGGCGAAGGCGGCUGUCUGGUCUGUAACUGACGCUGAGGCUCGAAAGUAUGGGUAGCAAACAGGAUUAGAUACCCUGGUAGUCCAUACCGUAAACGAUGAAUGCUAAGUGUUGGAGGGUUUCCGCCCUUCAGUGCUGCAGCUAACGCAUUAAGCAUUCCGCCUGGGGAGUACGGCCGCAAGGCUGAAACUCAAAGGAAUUGACGGGGGCCCGCACAAGCGGUGGAGCAUGUGGUUUAAUUCGAAGCUACGCGAAGAACCUUACCAGGUCUUGACAUACUAUGCAAAUCUAAGAGAUUAGACGUUCCCUUCGGGGACAUGGAUACAGGUGGUGCAUGGUUGUCGUCAGCUCGUGUCGUGAGAUGUUGGGUUAAGUCCCGCAACGAGCGCAACCCUUAUUAUCAGUUGCCAGCAUUAAGUUGGGCACUCUGGUGAGACUGCCGGUGACAAACCGGAGGAAGGUGGGGAUGACGUCAAAUCAUCAUGCCCCUUAUGACCUGGGCUACACACGUGCUACAAUGGAUGGUACAACGAGUUGCGAACUCGCGAGAGUAAGCUAAUCUCUUAAAGCCAUUCUCAGUUCGGAUUGUAGGCUGCAACUCGCCUACAUGAAGUCGGAAUCGCUAGUAAUCGCGGAUCAGCAUGCCGCGGUGAAUACGUUCCCGGGCCUUGUACACACCGCCCGUCACACCAUGAGAGUUUGUAACACCCAAAGUCGGUGGGGUAACCUUUUAGGAACCAGCCGCCUAAGGUGGGACAGAUGAUUAGGGUGAAGUCGUAACAAGUAACCCGUAAGCGGG